rnacentral:lncRNA from 1 species
AACAUAUCCUAGUUGUGUGACCCUGGGCAAGUCACUUUAACCCCUAUUGUCUAGCCCUUACCAUUCUUCUGCCUUGGAACCAAUACACAGUAUUGAUUCUAAGAUGGAAGGUCAGGGUUUUAGAAAAUAUAUAAAAAAAAGAAAGAAAAGAAAAGUAGUAUCAAGUCAUAGUCACAUAUGAAGACUUUAUUAAUAUCAUAACAAUAUUGGUAGAGUAGGUGUAAGAGUGUCAAGUCUGGAGUGAGGAAGACUCAUCUUUCUGAGUUCAAAUCUGGAUUCAGACACUAACUUUGCCAUCCUGGGCAAAUCCCAAAACUACAAAUGUCUCUGUUUCCUCAUCUUUAAUAAAAAGAGUUGGAAAAGUAAAUUGCAAACUACUCCAGUACCUUGGGAAAAGCUCCCAAUAGGUGUCAUAAAUAGGUAGAUAGAACCUUAAAAUGACUGAAAAUCAUCCCUUUAAUCACUGAUAAUAGCUUUUAAGAUGUUAUUUUAAAAUAUUUUUGAUCAAUCAUUUAAAAAACAUAUUGUGAAAAACUUCCUGCUAAAAGUCUAUUUGGAAUUGAACUUGAGAAUAUUUUCUUCUGGCAGAAAAAUGAAAUAUGAAAAGGAAAAUCCUCCAGAAGGAAAAUUGGAUGUCUGAUAUCAUCUAUGCUAUUAUUUAAUUAAUUGUCCCUUUCCAACUAUCAAUGAAAUAUACACGAAAAUCAAGAAGUUUGAUAUCUGAAUUUUAUCCAUAACAAAGUUAUUAUUCACAUUCCUAAAAGAGCCCCAUUCUUGAGAAGCAUCCUUUAGGAAUUUAAUGAAUCUCUUACUUUUCUUUAGGCUCUUGGUUCUUAUGGAACUUACCACCACUAUUCUCUUCAAGAACUUGAGAAAAUGAAGCUUUCUGACUUACUGGUGGCUAUUCUCUUCAUCACCCAGAUUGGAAUUGGGUUUUUAGGAAGGCAGAGUUGCACAAAUUCAUCAGUCAAAUUCUCUCUUCAAGAAUCAUGGAAAUCCAAUGGCAUGACAAAAGACUGGUGAAGACUGAGGAUUGAGUGAAUGACCUUGGUGUCUUCAAUGUCUGACCAAGCUCUAAACCAUAUUAUAUAACAUACAUCAACUUUGACUGCUUUUACGACCACUGGAAAAAUAUUUUCUCAUCUGUCCAUUCUUAAAGGGGAAAUCUUCAUACACUUUUCUUUUAGGCAUUCCCUUUACUCACUUUACUUACUUUUUUUUUGAGGAAACCAUGAUAGUAUGAAAACAAAAUACAUCAAUAAAAGUUAUUGGUGAAUAUGAAAUAU